GACGAACGCUGGCGGCGUGCUUAACACAUGCAAGUCGAACGAAGUGGCGAACGGGUGAGUAAUACGUGGGUAACCUGCCCUCCUUUUUGAGAUAAGCCUUGGAACCGGGGUCUACUACCGAAUAAUGGGGGUUGGGCUCGGGGCCUAUCAGCUGGUUGGUGGGGUGAUGGCCUACCCAGGCGGUGACGGGUAGCCGGCCUGAGAGGGUGACCGGGAACAUAGGGACGGAGCAAAGGCCCAGCGUCGGAAGGAGUGGGGAAUUGUGGGAUAUUGCACAAUGGGCGAAAGCGUCAUGCAGCGACGGCGCGUGGGGGAUGAAGGUUUUCGGGUUCUAAACGUAUUUAGCUAUCGAACGGGUACUUGGAGAAGAAGCGCCGGCUAACUACGUGCCAGCAGCCGCGGUAAUAC
rnacentral:rRNA from 1 species